UACGGAGGGUGCGAGCGUUGUCCGGAAUCACUGGGCGUAAAGGGCGCGUAGGCGGCUUCGUAAGCGUGCGGUGAAAGCUUGGGGCUCAACCCCGAGUCGGCCGUGCGAACUGCGGAGCUCGAGCACUGUAGAGGCAGGCGGAAUUCCGGGUGUAGCGGUGGAAUGCGUAGAGAUCCGGAAGAACGCCGGUGGCGAAAGCGACCUGCUGGACCUCUUCUGACGCUGAGGCGCGAAAGCUAGGGGAGCAAACGGG
rnacentral:rRNA from 1 species